rnacentral:rRNA from 1 species
AACACGUGGGCAACCUGCCCUAUAGUUUGGGAUAACUCCGGGAAACCGGGGCUAAUACCGAAUAAUACAUUUUAUCUCCUGAUGAGAUGUUGAAAGAUGGUUUCGGCUAUCGCUAUAGGAUGGGCCCGCGGCGCAUUAGCUAGUAGGUGAGGUAACGGCUCACCUAGGCGACGAUGCGUAGCCGACCUGAGAGGGUGAUCGGCCACACUGGGACUGAGACACGGCCCAGACUCCUACGGGAGGCAGCAGUAGGGAAUCUUCCACAAUGGGCGAAAGCCUGAUGGAGCAACGCCGCGUGAGUGAAGAAGGUUUUCGGAUCGUAAAACUCUGUUGUAAGGGAAGAACAAGUGCAGUAGUAACUGGCUGCACCUUGACGGUACCUUAUUAGAAAGCCACGGCUAACUACGUGCCAGCAGCCGCGGUAAUACGUAGGUGGCAAGCGUUGUCCGGAAUUAUUGGG